GACGUAGGGCGCAAGCGUUGUCCGGAUUUAUUGGGCGUAAAGAGCUCGUAGGCGGCUCGUUGCGUCGGCUGUGAAAACCCGCAGCUCAACUGUGGGCUUGCAGCCGAUACGGGCAGGCUAGAGUGUGGUAGGGGAGAUCGGAAUUCCUGGUGUAGCGGUGAAAUGCGCAGAUAUCAGGAGGAACACCGGUGGCGAAGGCGGAUCUCUGGGCCAUUACUGACGCUGAGGAGCGAAAGCGUGGGGAGCGAACAGG
rnacentral:rRNA from 1 species